rnacentral:rRNA from 1 species
AUUGAACGCUGGCGGCAGGCUUAACACAUGCAAGUCGAGCGGGGGGAGGUAGCUUGCUACCUAACCUAGCGGCGGACGGGUGAGUAAUGCUUAGGAAUCUGCCUAUUAGUGGGGGACAACAUUUCGAAAGGGAUGCUAAUACCGCAUACGCCCUAAGGGGGAAAGCAGGGGAUCUUCGGACCUUGCGCUAAUAGAUGAGCCUAAGUCGGAUUAGCUAGUUGGUGGGGUAAAGGCCUACCAAGGCGACGAUCUGUAGCGGGUCUGAGAGGAUGAACCGCCACACUGGAACUGAGACACGGCCCAUACUCCUACGGGAGGCAGCAGUGGGGAAUAUUGGACAAUGGGCGCGAGCCUGAUCCAGCCAUGCCGCGUGUGUGAAGAAGGCCUUAUGGUUGUAAAGCACUUUAAGCGAGGAGGAGGCUACUUUAGAUAAUACCUAGAGAUAGUGGACGUUACUCGCAGAAUAAGCACCGGCUAACUCUGUGCCAGCCGCCGCAGUAACAC